CCCAGGUUCACCUCGCAUGCUCCACUCUCUCAGAGCCCUGCUUUUCUGGCCUGUAAAUUUGUGGUAAUGACGCCUCUCUCACAGAGCAUCUCGUUCCUAGAUGAUCUCUGCCACUUCUCUGCUCUGCCACGCUUGAACCACUCCACCGUGGUUUAGCGAAGAUCCAGUAUGUCCCAGGCACCGCACUAGAAGACCUCACUUCUUCAAUUACCCUCAAACCUCAUCUUUUCCUCUGAACCCUGGGAGCACAAGACAUGGAAGAAACAGAAGACUCACGCUGGAGAGGCAAAGUGGCUUCUAGAGCCAGGCCCUUGGCAGGCCUCCUUUCAGAAGGACAUCUGAAGCUGUCUCCAGGCCAGCCAGAGCAAGCCCCUGCCCACGGAGUCACCCCCUCAAUUAGGUCUGAACUUGCUCUUCCGGAAGUGACUUGUGAAGCUGGUGGAGCUGGUUUUGGGAGGGAAGAAGAACAUGGAGUCAGGCCAGAGGGGACCUUUGUCUCGUCCAGCUCUGGACCAUUCCUGAGGCACCUGCUUUGGUAGAAGAAACCAUUGUGGCUGUGCCUCCGAAUGUGUGCAUGUCUCUCUCUAUCCGUAUGCCUCCCCAUUCACCCAGGGGGCUCCCGUGCACAUCUGUGUAGAGUCUCCCUUCAUCUCACAAGCUGUGAGGCCACAGGCAGCUGAUUCAAACCACCUGACCUCUAUUUUCCUUGUCUGUAUAAUGGGAAUAAUAAUAAGUUCUACAAAAAGUUACUGUGGUGGCAAAAUGAAAAUGUGCAUAAGCUCUUUAGCACAGUUCCUGGUGCUCUUGUGUUAGGUUAUUAUUACCAGAUGCCUAAUGCAAGUUACCUAACCUCCCUGUGCCUCAGUUUCCCCAUGCGUAAAUUGGGAAUAAUACCAGAACCUAGUGUUGUUGUGAGGAUUAAAGAAGUUGAUACCUACAAAGUACUUG
rnacentral:lncRNA from 1 species